rnacentral:rRNA from 1 species
UGGGGAAUAUUGCACAAUGGGCGAAAGCCUGAUGCAGCAACGCCGCGUGCGGGAUGACGGCCUUCGGGUUGUAAACCGCUUUCAGCAGGGACGAAGGGUUUCUGACGGUACCUGCAGAAGAAGCACCGGCUAACUACGUGCCAGCAGCCGCGGUGAUACGUAGGGUGCGAGCGUUGUCCGGAAUUAUUGGGCGUAAAGAGCUCGUAGGUGGUUUGUUGCGUCGGAAGUGAAAACUCAGGGCUUAACCCUGAGCCUGCUUUCGAUACGGGCAGACUAGAGGAAGGUAGGGGAGAACGGAAUUCCUGGUGGAGCGGUGGAAUGCGCAGAUAUCAGGAGGAACACCGGUGGCGAAGGCGGUUCUCUGGACCUUUCCUGACGCUGAGGAGCGAAAGCGUGGGGAGCAAACAGGCUUAGAUACCCUGGUAGUCCACGCCGUAAACGGUGGGCACUAGGUGUGGGGGACAUUCCACGUUCUCCGUGCCGUAGCUAACGCAUUAAG